AUGGGUAAGGAUCAGGUUCCCGCAGAGGACGACAUGGAGCUCGUCCCGACGACAUCACGCCUGGCCGGCCGUGCCGCCCGGGUCUGCCGCGCUGGUGGUCCGUCACGAACCUCUACUUAUGUGCAUGUCGGAAUUCAUCCAAGCAGAUGUACGUGCAUGCACAACCAGCUGAUCAGGCACCAAGAGCCCAGCUACCUACGUGCAUGCCGGCCGGACCUCAUCCAAGCAGAUGUACAGAUGCACAGGUUGAGCCCACCAAGCCCAGCCUCUAGGAUUGGUUGGAGAUCCAAAUAUAUGUCUAUUCAUAUAAAAUAA
rnacentral:rRNA from 1 species